AAAAUUGUAAUUGGGAAACGUUUUUUCGCUAAAGGAUGAGACUAUAUGGUAUCAGGUAGUUGGUGGGGUAAGAGCCCACCAAGCCAAUGACGCCUAGCUGGUCUGAGAGGAUGAUCAGCCACACUGGAACUGAGACACGGUCCAGACUCCUACGGGAGGCAGCAGUGGGGAAUAUUGCACAAUGGAGGAAACUCUGAUGCAGCAACGCCGCGUGGAGGAUGACGCAUUUCGGUGUGUAAACUCCUUUUAUAUGGGAAGAUAAUGACGGUACCAUAUGAAUAAGCACCGGCUAACUCCGUGCCAGCAGCCGCGGUAAUACGGAGGGUGCAAGCGUUACUCGGAAUCACUGGGCGUAAAGCGCGCGCAGGCGGCCUUUUAAGUUGGAUGUGAAAGCCUACGGCUCAACCGUAGAACUGCAUCCAAAACUAUUGGGCUAGAGUGUGGGAGAGGAAGAUGGAAUUAGUUGUGUAGGGGUAAAUCCGUAGAGAUAACUAGGAAUACCAAAAGCGAAGGCAAUCUUCUGGAACAUUACCGACGCUGAGGCGCGAAAGCGUGGGGAGCAAACAGGAUUAGAUACCCUGGUAGUCCACGCCCUAAACGAUGAAUGUUAGUCGUCGGGUAGCUAGUCUAUUCGGUGAUGCAGCUAACGCAUUAAACAUUCCGCCUGGGGAGUACGGUCGCAAGAUUAAAACUCAAAGGAAUAGACGGGGACCCGCACAAGUGGUGGAGCAUGUGGUUUAAUUCGAAAAUACGCGAAGAACCUUACCUAGCCUUGACAUAUAUUAGAACACUUUAGAGAUAGAGUGGUGCCUUCGGGAGCUUUUAUACAGGUGCUGCACGGCUGUCGUCAGCUCGUGUCGUGAGAUGUUGGGUUAAGUCCCGCAACGAGCGCAACCCUCGUCACUAGUUACUAACGGUUCGGCCGAGGACUCUAGUGAGACUGCCUUCGUAAGGAGGAGGAAGGUGAGGACGACGUCAAGUCAUCAUGGCCCUUACGGCUAGGGCAACACACGUGCUACAAUGGCCAGGACAAUGAGACGCGAUACCGCGAGGUGGAGCAAAUCUAUAAACCUGGUCUCAGUUCGGAUUGUAGUCUGCAACUCGACUACAUGAAGCUGGAAUCACUAGUAAUCGUAGAUCAGCUAUGCUACGGUGAAUACGUUCCCGGGUCUUGUACUCACCGCCCGUCACACCAUGGGAG
rnacentral:rRNA from 1 species